GUGCCCUUGGUGUAUGGUAACACAUGUCUUCAUGGUAUCAUUGCUCACAAGGUACUUAAUUCAAGACGAGUCCGGGGUUCGACUCCCCGAGGGCGUA